rnacentral:rRNA from 1 species
UACGUAGGGUCCGAGCGUUGUCCGGAAUUACUGGGCGUAAAGCGCGCGCAGGCGGCCCGCGAGGUGUCACGUGAAAGCCCCGGGCUCAACCCGGGAGGGUCGUGGCAAACCGGCGGGCGUGAGGCCGGUAGAGGUGGGUGGAACUCCUGGUGGAGUGGUGAAAUGCGUAGAGAUCAGGAAGAACACCCGUGGCGAAGGCGGCCCACUGGGCCGGUACUGACGCUGAGGCGCGGAGGCGUGGGGAGCGAACGGG